UCCCAAUUACAUAGCAAUAACAAAACCCUAAUCGCAGCAAUAACAAAACCCUAGACAAUGCAUCUCCCUUAUAUAUACCGCUACACUUCACAGCCUCCAAAUCAAGCUCACACCAACCAUGAUUCUCCCUCAUCCCUCCAAGAAAAUCAUCAAAAAUAGGAUCAAUUUUAGGUUUCAGUGUCCUUAUAGUGAUUGCAAGAUCUCUGUUAAGAUUUAAGACUUGUUGUCUAUGUUGCUGGACAUUUCGUUUAACGGGCAUAUAAAGAUUUUUAUAGGACUUGCGACACAGAUUGCUUUUGUUAUAUAUAAGCUUUCUGUUACUAUUAUCCUGUUUACAUUUUCUGCAUAACUCAAGUUAACUUUGUUUGAUUUUUUUCUAUUAACAAUCUUUUUCUU